UACGUAGGGUCCGAGCGUUGUCCGGAGUUACUGGGCGUAAAGGGCGCGCAGGCGGCGGUGCUGGCCCGGCGUGAAAGUCCAGGGCUCAACCCUGGGGUGCCGGUCGAUACUGCCGGACUAGAGUUCGGAAGAGGCGAGUGGAAUUCCCGGUGUAGCGGUGAAAUGCGCAGAUAUCGGGAGGAACACCUAUGGCGAAGGCAGCUCGCUGGGACGUUACUGACGCUGAGACGCGAAAGCGUGGGGAGCAAACAGG
rnacentral:rRNA from 1 species